ACUCCUACGGGAGGCAGCAGUGGGGAAUAUUGCACAAUGGGCGAAAGCCGGAUCCAGCCAUGCCGCGUGUGUGAAGAAGGCUUUCGGGUUGUAAAGCACUUUAAGUUGGGAAGAAAAGUUCAUAGUUAAUACCCCGCCUCACCGUCAUUACCUGUCCAGGAAGCACCGGCUAACUCCUUGCCAGCAGCCGCGGUAAUACGGAGGGUGCAAGCGUUAAUCGGAAUUACUGGGCGUAAAGCGCGCGUAGGUGGUUUACUAAGUUGGAUGUGAAAGCCCUGGGCUCAACCUAGGAAUUCCACCUCUCUCUCCAAUACUAGAGUCGGGUAGAGGGAGGUGGAAUUCCCAGUGUAGCGGUGGAAUGCGUAGAUAUGUGGAAGAACACCGAUGGCGAAGGCAGCCUCCUGAACCUCUACUGACGCCGAGGUACGAAAGCGUGGGUAGCAAACAGGAUUAGAUACCCCGGUAGUUCACCCGAUGUCGCUAGCCGUUGAAUUCUCUUAGUCAUCUUCCGUGUGGCAGCCGGCGCAAUAAGUUGACCGCCUGGGGAGUACGGCCGCAAGGUUAAAACUCAAAUGAAUUGACGG
rnacentral:rRNA from 1 species